GGGUGCUUGGCGCAAUGGCUAGCGUGUUUGGCUUCGAUGCCUCACGUCCCGAACACGUGAUUUCCUACCAAAAGGUUGCAGGUUCGAGUCCUGCAGCGCUCA